rnacentral:lncRNA from 1 species
AAGAAAGGGUUUAGAAGCUGGAAACUUUCAGCAAAGAAACUCCCUUUAUAGUAAGUGAUUUUAAUGUCUUUGCUUGAUGAUUUUUACAUUUUUGGAACCCCUAAAGCAUGAGCUUUCAUAAGAGGGGAUUAUUUUGCAAAAUGAUGAAGAGUCUAGGGUUUUACCAUGAGAGUAAAUGUGUUGUUUUCUGUCUUUUUAUGGAAGAUUAUGAGUCCUAGUUGUCUAAUAAACAACUUUUGUGAAAGAAAUUGCAUGAAAAUACCUUAAAAAGGGCUAAAUUGCUAAGUUGUAAAAUGAGUUGUAAAUGUGUAAAAUAGUUGAAAUUAUGAGUUGCUGUAGUUAUGAAAAUCGUUCAUCUAGACUCAAGGAAUAAAUAAAUGUGAUAAAAAUUAAUUUACGAGCAUUGGGGCAAAAGUGAAAAUAUGCAAAAGUUUAAGGGUCAAAAUGAAAAUUUUUAAAAAUAUGAUUUUUAGACCCAUAUGAAUAUUGUGACUGAUUUUUAGGCUAAAUUGAUGUUAUAGAUGAUGAAAAUUGAGAUUUGGACCUAGAACGGAAAGAAAUCGAUUUAUGGACGAGUAUGUCUUUUCACCUUUGUGGUAUCGAGGUAAGUUCGUAUGUAAACAAUACCAUGCUAUACAUGUAUUUAAAUGUUAUCAUUACAUGAAUUGUACAGAUAUUAAUGUGUAUGUGAUUAAUAGAAAUAUGAUAAGACAAAGCCUUAAUAGGCAAGGAAAAAUCCCAUUUGAACCUUAGGAAUAAAUUAGGAUACGAGUGACAUGUCACUAGGAAUUAUGAGUCUAGAUGACUGGCUCGAUAGUGAGCAUUGAAAUGUCAUGAGAAAUGAGAUAGCUUUAGCUACAAUUGAGGCACUUAUGUGCAAAGGCUUUUCCGAGUAUCCAAUUAGUAUUCCAAGUGUUCAACGGGCAAUCCAAGGAAAGAGUUGAUGAUGGUCCCAAUAAGGUAAGUCAUUGGUGAGUAUGCACUCGAGUUAUGUUACGAGUUGUGCAAGUAUGUAUACUAAGCCUAUGAGAAUGCUUUGAUAUGUGAUGAUCUAUGAUGCAUAAUAUGUGUUCUUACCAUGAUGGAUAAAAUGGUGUUGUAUUAAUAUUAUGAACAAUGACCAUGAAUGAGUAACUUAGCCUUGACAGAUUUGAGUUACUGCAGUAGUGUAACUUUGAAAAUACACUAAAAAUAGUGGAAAAUGAAUUAGAGGCAGAAUAAAAUAUGGGAUUAAAUCUUAAUGAGUCUAUUUUCACAUGAAAUAGAGGAAGAAAAAGAAUUCUAUAUUGUGUGAUAUUUAAAUUCUCAUGAAAUAGGGUCUGAAUGAAUUCGAGAUCCCCUGUUCUGAUUUUAUAAAUUCACCGUAAAUCGUAAAAAAAUUAUUAAGAGUAAUACCUUACAUGCAUGGAUUCCUUAUUGAGUCUACCUUUAAGGAAAACAAACGGCAUGAUUAUUGGAAUUAUGUACAGGGAGAAAUUCGGUUCGAAGUGCAUAGGGUCAGAGUAGUCAUACCCUGAAACAGGGGAAACUUUAACUAAUAAACUGUACUAAAUGGUUUGACCAAAAAUUCUAGAAAAAAAUUAGUAAGUAUACAUAUGAGUCUAGUUUCAAGAGAAAUAGACGAGAACAUUAUUCGAGUCCUGUACUAUGAGAUAAUUGAACUUUAGUGCAGAAGGGUUGAAACUGUCAGACAGUGAAUCAGGAGCAAACUUGAGGAAUAAACUGUACUAAUUGGCUAAGUCAAAAAUUCUGGAAAUUUUAUGGAAGAAAGAUAAAUGAUUCUAGUUUCAGGGAAAAUUAAUGGAACUUAAUUUUGAGUUUCGUAGCUCCAGAUAUAAAUAAUUUAGUGACUGCUGCUCAGGAAGACAGCUUGUAGUGAACUUGAGAAUAUGUUGUAAACAUUGAUAAAACAAGUUAAUGAGUUGCUUAUUGUUUUCAUAUGAACUUACUAAGCGAAAGCUUACCCUCUUCUUUCCCAUGUUUUCUAGAGUUUCUAGGUUAGCUCGGGUUGGAGGCCGUCAGAGAUAUUAUCACACUGUCGAGUUAACGCUAUCGGCGUAAGUAAACUCAAGUGAUUCUAGUCUAUGGCAUGUAUAGGGUUUUAAUGUGAGUAUGUAAUAUUAUGAUUUAGCCAAAGGCAUUGGCUUGUUAUUAAGGUAGUAUUAGUCAUGUAAAUUGGCCUAUGUCGGCUAAUAUCGUUAUGGGCCCAUAUGAUUAUUCUUAUGCAUGUAUGUUAUUAUCUCUUGUGAUGUGGCUUACAACAUGUAUGCCUAGAGAUUGAAUUGAGAUUCAUUGAUGAGCUAAUAACUAAUGCAGGAUUAAGUGAUUGGUAAAUAGUUAAUAAUGCUUCAUGAAUGGUUUGUGGAUAUGAUUAUGCAUGCUUUGUGAUGGACAUGAGGUUUGAUGACAUGUUGAUAGCUAUAGCAUUAAUAUGGUAAAGAUGAAAGAAAAACUUAUUGUAAUGGUUGCAUGUGAAAUUACCAUGGUCAUGUCAUGUUAGGAAGGUUUAAGUGCCUAAUUUUGUCAUGUUGUAUGCUAUUGUAUAAGUAUGCGUGCAUGUGUUGUGAGUGUGACAAAAUGGCUUGGAAAAUAGCCUUGUAUUUGUCCAGGUUUUUGGACAUGGGUUCGGGACACGAGCGUGUCCUUAGCACCCGGGCGUGUGCUCUAUACCUACACGGGCGUGUGGAGCCUUGAUGCAAGAGAUUUCCUAAGUUUUUCAUGAGAUUUCGGUUGAGUCCCGAACCAUCCCGAAUGCAUGUAUUGGGCUUCUUAAGCUCGCAUAAGGGACAUAUUACAUGUGAAAAGAAAAGUUUUUAAUUAUUUGAGAUUUCAUGGCCUUGUUUAGUAUGGAAGUGUUAGUAAAAGUCAGGUAGCACCUCGAACCGCGUCCCGACGUCGGAUGCGGGCAAGAGGUGUUACAUUUAGUGGUAUCAGAGCAUGGUUUAGUCGGUUCUCGGAAUAAUCUAGCGUAAUAGAGUCUAGCUAUACAUGCCAUAGUAUUACUCAUGAUAGUGUGAUAUCUCUCGGCCCUAACAAAACUGUUGGUUAAGACAUGAAUGAGUUCCAACCGAGCAAAUCUUGAUAAAGAUAAUAGUAAAGUUGAGAUUGUUGAAUCAUGCUUAUGAUAUGCUGAAAAUUGGGAAAUGUAUGAAAAGAAAUUCAUGCUUUUUACAUGACCUAGUAUUCAUUAUAUGAUACUCUUGAGUUAAAGAAUGUGAAAUAGUGGAGCAAAACACAGUUAAGUUGUGAAAAACGCUUUUAUGCAUGCUAGUAUUCAUACGAUGUUAAAUGUCCAACUUGAUUGGCCAAGUGUUUAUGAAAAGAAAGAAAUUUGCUUGAAGUGACAAAAUGUAUGUAUGAAUGCUUUUAUUGCAUGAUUAAUAAUCAGUAUAUAUAUGAGGUUGACAUUUAUGUCUAGAUUAAGAAGUCAAGAUGCAGUAAUGUUAUGUUUUAUAAUCUCAGUUAGAGAAUCAUAAAUGUCACAAUAGCAUGAAAGUUGUAAUGAAAGAUCAAAUUGGGUGGAACGCAAGGAAUGAGUACGAUCAUUCACUAAUGAAUUGACAGAAAAGACCAUGGUUGGACCAUGGCAAUACAUGAGAUUUGUGUGCCAGUGUAAGACCAUGUAUGGGACAUGGCAUCGGCAUUGAGACGAGGGCUAGUGUAAGACAUGUCUGGGACAUGCAUCGGCCUCGAGAUGUUAGCCAGUGUCAGACAUGUCUAGGAAAUGCGUCGGUUACGAGAUGUGCUAGUGUAAGACAUGUCUAGGACAUGCGUCAGCACGGUUACAUGUGUCAGUGUAAGACCUGUCUGGGACACGGCAUCGACCUAGAUGGAUGAGAGCUAGUACAAGACCAUAGUUGAACUAUGGCAUCAAGUAAACGAUGUACUCAAAACCGUAAGACGUUCUCCAAUUUGAUAAAUAUUGGAAAGUGAUUAAGACUAAAUGUGGAAACUUGAUAAGACAUUAAGGGUAAUUUGAGAAAAAAGAAAUGAAAGUUUGAGUUAUGAUAAAUUCACUUAUGUUUAGCUAAUAUUCGCAUGAAAUAAAGUUGCAUGUAUUACUGAGAUAAGUGAAAAUGUGUUUAUAACAAGUUGGAAAUUUGAAAUGUUUGAAUUAAUAUGCUUAAAGCUAUGUUGUUGUUGAAUAUGUAUUUGCUUGAGAGUCAAAAGUUUAGAGGCUUUACAAUCUUCGCCCUCUUACUAGAAUAGAGUUAUACAUGAGAUUCUCGAGAGAUAUGUUGCAUAAGCUUGCAAAAGUGAAACUGAAGAGUACAAUAAUGGAAUAGUAUGAGAUUAGAGAAGACAGAAUUAGUUAGAGGAAUAACAUCAGACUCACACAGAUGUCUGAGUAUAACAGAUUCAAUUAAACAAAAGUGAUGGCUAUCUUUCUCUUCUGAAUAUUCUAUGUUUUCCUCAAUUCUGGGGAAUAUGUAUGGUUAUCCCUUUCGAAUGGAAAUUCUAUCAUACGAGGAUGCUAGUGACUGUGAUAUUAGAUGAAAAGCUCUAUUGGUCCAGUUAGUUAUGAUUGACAUUUUCCCCAUCUCUUCAGAUUUCUAUUCUGAUAUAUUGGAAUGAAGUUGAUAGUAAAAAAAAAAAUCUAUGUGAGAUUAUUCUGAUGUUCUAUUGAUUAUGGUUUAUAUAUGUGAGAAUUAUAUUAUCUCUGUUACGAGAAAUUCUAGAGCGUACAGACAGUAGUUUCCUUAUGGUUUUCUCUGAGGGAUUUUCCGGAUCAUCUUUAGUAUUUUCUUCUGGAUUAUAUUCUCGGAUUUCUGGUAUAGUCUUUAUAUCUUAGAAUUUCUUAUAUGGGUUUUUUUCUCGUUCUUGUUUCGAGAAUUAUCAAGCUUGGCUUAUCUUUACGAGUAAUAUUUGACUUACGAUAUUAGAAUCUGUUAUGAUUAAGCUUCUGGCUCGACCAUAGAAGUGUGGGGAUUUCAGUGUCGAGAUUUUUUUAAAAUUCCUAGGGUAAAGAAUGGUUAUUCUGCAAAAGUAAAUAUGAGUUAUGUGCAUUUAAGUUUAUUCUCUAGUUCGAGAAUACUGUUACGUGUUCUUUGGUAAGUAGUCGUACAGUCAGAAAUGAUGGGGUUUUAUUCUUGAAAGUAUGUUAUGGAAACAUAUUAGUUGGAUUUCUCUUGUUCGAGAGAUUUUAUAAGUAUAGUUAUCCUGAUUAAUAAAGAGACCACAUCUAUGAAGUUGGAAUCAUUUGAUUCAUGUUAGUAAAGUUUCUAAACAGUUGAUGAUCAGAGUAUAGAAAUGUGGCUAUAAGUGGUAAAUUAAACAAGUAAAGCAUGAUUCGACUUUUAAUUUGGAAUUUCAGGGAGGAUUUGAUUUCUGGUUUCUAUUACUAUUAAUUCAGAGUAAGAUUUCAGUACUGAGAAACUCUGGGUAUACAGAGAAUUGAGUACAGAGUUCACGGCUGUAUCUUGUCUAUUUGUUCAAAGGAUGUCGAAUUGUCUAUAGGGUAAAGCCAAAUAUCAAAUGUAUUCGAGAUUAUUAUUGUCAGUGAUGACAGUGGGAAGAAAAUGAGAAAGGACUAUUAUGAAUUUCGUAUCGGGAUGUCUCUCAUUCCCAGGAAAAAAGAGGGAUGCAAGUUGAUUUGUGAUAGAUUGAUGAUGGAAGUCCGCAUGAUUAUUUUAGUAUGUACAGAUAUAUUAUUUGACAGAUGUGACUGAGUUGUAUGUUUCUGAGUUUAUAGUUCCAAGAAUGUCAGUCUCCAGUGUUUCAAAUUGAGCUCCAAGGUUUAUACCUCAACUAUGGAAAAGCUAUAGGAAAUCUUGAAUAUGAGCUUGUGCUGAGUUGUUUUGUAAGUUGUGAGAAAAAUAUAUAAGUGACUCGUGAAAGUAGAGAACAACUUUUUCUGGUAAGAUUUUCGGGGACGAAAAUCCCUAAAGAGGGGAAGAAAUGUAACAGCCCGAUUUUGGGCCUAGCAGAACAGUAGUUUCGGGACCACUAUUUUGAGGCUAGAGAAAAUUAUUUUAGUAUUAUUUUGUGUUAUAAUAUAAUUUUAUAAGUGCAUGUAAAUUUUGGUAAGUUAAUUUUAGCGAUUUCUAGUCCAAUUUCGAAAAAAGACUAAAUUGCGUAAAAGAUAAAAGUUGUGUGUUAAUGCCUAAAUGUGUUAAUAGACUAGAUACCUAAAAUUGGAGGCAUUUAAAGGGCAAUUAGACCCUUUUUAAGUGUGUGGCCGGCCAAGGGGAGACCAAUUGGUCAAAAGGCCAAAAUUUGUGGCUUUUAUGUGUUUUAAUUGACUAAUUAGUAAUAAAAUAAAGAAAAGAAAAUAUCAUCUUUUCUUCAUCUUCUCUCCACUGAAAAAUGGCAACAAAGAAAGGGUUUAGAAGCUGGAAACUUUCAGCAAAGAAACUCCCUUUAUAGUAAGUGAUUUUAAUGUCUUUGCUUGAUGAUUUUUACAUUUUUGGAACCCCUAAAGCAUGAGCUUUCAUAAGAGGGGAUUAUUUUGCAAAAUGAUGAAGAGUCUAGGGUUUUACCAUGAGAGUAAAUGUGUUGUUUUCUGUCUUUUUAUGGAAGAUUAUGAGUCCUAGUUGUCUAAUAAACAACUUUUGUGAAAGAAAUUGCAUGAAAAUACCUUAAAAAGGGCUAAAUUGCUAAGUUGUAAAAUGAGUUGUAAAUGUGUAAAAUAGUUGAAAUUAUGAGUUGCUGUAGUUAUGAAAAUGGUUCAUCUAGACUCAAGGAGUAAAUAAAUGUGAUAAAAAUUAAUUUACGAGCAUUGGGGCAAAAGUGUAAAUAUGCAAAAGUUUAGGGGUCAAAAUGAAAAUUUUUAAAAAUAUGAUUUUUAUACCCAUAUGAAUAUUGUGACUGAUUGUUAGGCUAAAUUGAUGUUAUAGAUGAUGAAAAUUGAGAUUUGGACCUAGAACGGAAAGAAAUCGAUUUAUGGACGAGUAUGUCUUUUCACCUUUAUGGUAUAUAGGUAAGUUCGUAUGUAAACAAUACCAUGCUAUACAUGUAUUUAAAUGUUAUCAUUACAUGAAUUGUACAUAUAUUAAUGUGUAUGUGAUUAAUAGAAAUAUGAUAAGACAAAGCCUUAAUAGGCAAGGAAAAAUCCUGUUUGAACCUUAGGAAUAAAUUAGGAUACGAGUGACAUGUCACUAGGAAUUAUGAGUCUAGAUGACUAGCUCGAUAGUGAGCAUUGAAAUGCCAUGAGAUGUGAGAUAGCUUUAGCUACAAUUGAGGCACUUAUGUGCAAAGGCUUUUUCGAGUAUCCAAUUAGUAUUCCAAGUGUUCAACGGGCAAUCCAAGGAAAGAGUUGAUGAUGGUCCCAAUGAGGUAAGUCAUUGGUGAGUAUGCACUCGAGUUAUGUUACGAGUUGUGCAAGUAUGUAUACUAAGCCUAUGAGAAUGCCUUGAUAUGUGAUGAUCUAUGAUACAUAAUAUGUGUUCUUACCAUGAUGGAUAAAAUGGUGUUGUAUUAAUAUUAUGAACAAUGACCAUGAAUGAGUAACUUAGCCUUGACAGAUUUGAGUUACUGCAGUAGUGUAACUUUGAAAAUACACUAAAAAUAUUGGAAAAUGACUUAGAGGCAGAAUAAAAUAUGGGAUUAAAGCUUAAUGAGUCUAUUUUCACAUGAAAGAAAUAGAGGAAGAAAAAUAAUUCUAUAUUGUGUGAUAUUUAAAUUCUCGUGAAAUAGGGUUUGAAUGAAUUUGAGAUCCCCUAUUCUGAUUUUAUAAAUUCAUCUUAAAUUGUAAAAAAAUUAUUAAGAGUCAUACCUUACAUGCAUGGAUUCCUUAUUGAGUCUAUCUUUAAGGGAAAAAAACGGCAUGAUCAUUGGAAUUAUGUACAGGGAGAAAUUCGGUUCGAAGUGCAUAGGGGUCAGAGUAGUCAUACCCUGAAACAUGGGAAACUUUAACUAAUAAACUGUACUAAAUGGUUUGACCAAAAAUUCUAGAAAAAAAUUAGUAAGUAUACAUAUGAGUCUAGUUUCAAGAGAAAUAGACGAGAACAUUAUUCGAGUCCUGUACUAUGAGAUAAUUGAACUUUAGUGCAGAAGGGUUGAAACUGUCAGACAGUGAAUCAGGAGCAAACUUGAGGAAUAAACUGUACUAAUUGGCUAAGUCAAAAAUUCUGGAAAUUUUAUGGAAGAAAGAUAAAUGAUUCUAGUUUUAGGAAAAAUUAACAGAACUUAAUUUGGAGUUUCGUAGCUCCAGAUAUAAAUAAUUUAGUGACUGCUGCUCAGGAAGACAGUUUGUAGUGAACUUGAGAAUAUGUUGUAAACAUUGAUAAAACAAGUUAAUGAGUCCCGAACCACCCCGAAUGCAUGUAUUGGGCCUCGUAAGCUCGCAUAAGGGACAGAUUACAUGUGAAAAGAAAAGUUUUUAAUUAUUUGAGAUUUCAUGGCCUUGUUUAGUAUGGAAGUGUUAGUAAAAGUCAGGUAGCACCUCGAACCGCGUCCCGACGUCGGAUGCGGGCGAGGGGUGUUACAGUAAAGUUCUAGUAUAAGAUGAUAUGAAUUCAAGAUUAAUGACUAUGAGAAAUACUUGAUAUACAAUGAUGUGAAAUGUACAUGUUCAUUGGAAACUUAAAGUGAUAAAUACACGUACGUGGAAAUAGAAUAUUGAUGAGCUCAUCCAUAUUUCUUAGUAUUUAUGUGAAUUACAUCACUAACAUGUUUGAUGAGGAUGUAUGUGUGUUUAGUUAUUGAUUACAUUGAUUUGGAUGUACUAUGUAUGUUUACUUUAAACAAAUACAAUUGGUAAGUUAAAUUCUUGUUAUACGAACUUACUAAGCAUUAAAUGCUUACUUCGUUUUCUUUCCUCUGUUUUAUAGUACUCGGAAGCUCAUAAAGGUUGGAAGCGGGUCAUAGCAAAAUCACACUAUCCUUCAGCUCAUUUUGGUAUAAUUAGUAAAAUUACCUUUGGUAUAAUGGCAUGUAUACACUAAGUUAAGCCAAAUGAUGAUAUGCUUUGGUUGUAAUUAGCCAUUGGAAUGGCUAGUGAUGGUACGUUUGAUGUAUAUAUGCAUGAGGUUGUAUUAUGUUUGGUAUGUGAGUGUGCUUAGAUUGGUAUUUUAGCUAUAAACAUACUUAAGUAAGUAAAUGAUCAAUUGAGUAAGUUGGAAGUUUGAAUAAAUGUCAUGAUAUAUCAUGUAUAAGACUUAGUUUGGCUUGAUUUGAAAGUUAUUAAUUGGCUUGUGAAUGUGCUUAAACGUUA